UACGGAGGGGGCUAGCGUUGUUCGGAAUUACUGGGCGUAAAGCGUACGUAGGCGGCUUUGUAAGUUAGAGGUGAAAGCCCGGGGCUCAACUCCGGAAUUGCCUUUAAGACUGCAUCGCUUGAAUCAUGGAGAGGUGAGUGGAAUUCCGAGUGUAGAGGUGAAAUUCGUAGAUAUUCGGAAGAACACCAGUUGCGAAGGCGACUCACUGGACAUGUAUUGACGCUGAGGUACGAAAGCGUGGGGAUCAAACAGG
rnacentral:rRNA from 1 species